AUUGAACGCUGGCGGCAGGCCUAACACAUGCAAGUCGAACGGUAACAGGAAGAAGCUUGCUUCUUUGCUGACGAGUGGCGGACGGGUGAGUAAUGUCUGGGAAACUGCCUGAUGGAGGGGGAUAACUACUGGAAACGGUAGCUAAUACCGCAUAACGUCGCAAGACCAAAGAGGGGGACCUUCGGGCCUCUUGCCAUCGGAUGUGCCCAGAUGGGAUUAGCUAGUAGGUGGGGUAACGGCUCACCUAGGCGACGAACCCUAGCUGGUCUGAGAGGAUGACCAGCCACACUAGAACUGAGACACGGUCCCGACUCCUACGGGAGGCCGCAGUGGGGAAUAUUGCACCAUGGGCGCAAGCCUGAUGCAGCCAUGCCGCGUGUAUGAAGAAGGCCUUCGGGUUGUAAAGUACUUUCAGCGGGGAGGCAGGGAGUAAAGUUAAUACCUUUGCUCAUUGACGUUACCCGCAGAAGAAGCACCGGCUAACUCCGUG
rnacentral:rRNA from 1 species